AGCUGGUGCUUCCAGCCGUCCAACCUCAGCUUUAGAGAUCAAGCUCAGCCGUCUCUGUUUACCUCUUAGUCCGAACGAACUCUUGCCAUAACAACUCUUGCAGGUACCUUGGACUUUUCCUUGUGCGCCACUUUGAUGCGAGCAAGGGCAAGGUGCAAUGAUGACAGGCAGGACCAUCAUAUCAGAGCAAUAGAAACAUCUUCUUAAGAUCAGUUCAGCUCAGCUCUGAACUGGUGCCUGACAAUCCCAAAUCAAAGUCGCUGUCUUGAACGCAAGUCCAGAAGAAAUUGAGAGCAGCCAACAAUGGAUGCCUAUGAAAUGUGCAUGAGAACAGGACAAGCCACAUACUGAUGCUCCCUCCAAGGAUUUUUCCAGAUUGCAGCUACUUGCAUUGCACCAAAUUCUUGUGGGCAUCCAGUGGAAGAUUGCAGUUUGGGGCGAAGGAAACAAAACCACCAUUCAUCUGUGCAGUGAGAUAUCUCGUGACAAAUAUCUUACUCUAACUGGAUUCUGAACUGAAAUAGGUAUCACUGGCAUUCCUGACCACAGCAAGCCUGAGAAAAUAGCCAUCAAUAGCCUUGGCCUUGUGCAGCUGACCCUGUUUGAGCUGUGAUUACUUCUCCAGAAUUCACCCACAUUGUAUUGGCAACCAGCAUGAAGUAUGAGCCCAGUCUGUCCUGAAGACUAAUAACUUAGCCACGAAAAUUGGCUUCACGUGCCGUGUUAAUCGAGUCUCUCAUGAAGUUAAGAACGAGCAGUUAUUUCCACAGGGAGUCAGAAAACUAAUACAGCCCUGGAAUGCACACCAGGAUUGCCUUUGCACUUAGUUGCCUACCUACGUGCUAGACACAAGAUGGUAACAGUACCAAAAUUUUUGUUUUGACUUGACUUCUUCAUCCAUGGGGAAUAAUGAUGCUGCAUCGGUGAUGAAAGGCACUGCAGUCCUUUCAUGAGAUGACAAUGGGCUGGAAAGCACCGUGGUGCUCCACCUUUACUUUGAGCCACGCUGUGUCUCCACAUAUCCUACCUCAUUAGCGUCCAAACUCUGCCACUGGAGGAGGCGUCGUUGUGGGAUUAAAACCCAGUGGGCAGGGUUUGUACCAACAGCCUUCUCAAGAGAUGGUAAAAGCCACAAUAAGUAAGUCAGGGAACAUGCAUGAUAAUAUUCAGAAUUUAUUUCCGUAUUUAUUAGGAGUGUUCUGUUUACUGAAGUCCAGCCGCUGUUCAUUCCUCCCUCAACAGCCCUAUCUCUUCUCGCUGCCUUCUGACCCCUCUGCAUUUGGUUGUUUAGACUCCUACAGAUGGCGAGAGAAGAAAUGGAGAGUGCUUGCAGGAUCUGCUGGGUGAAUGGUGAAUCCCAAGGAAACUGUUUAUUCAGAAAUAUUUCAGGCUGUUUUCAGGAGCUAAGAGAAUACUGAUUUCUGAUUGUGCUUACCUCUUAAAGGGGAUCACACAAAUCUGUGUGGUAACUUUUCAUUUGAAUGGCUCCUGAAAGAAAUCUGUUUGGGGAAUUGCCUUUCCAUACUUGUGUAAAAAUCCUUUUGUGCCAUUAAGAUGCUUUGCAAAGAGAAGCAAGAUCUAGAGGCUUGUUGAGGCACAGUUUUUGCUACCCAGUAGACUUAGUCUCAUUAAAAUGGACCUCAUCUCCUCACUGCUCCUGCACACACUGUCAGUUUAUCACAGAUCAUCUGACAUCUCCAAAAUGGAAAGCAUGACGUAAAGCUGGAAAAAGAGCUUGAGAAGGAAAAAAGUCAAAAUAAAAAUUGCAGAGACUUUGGGGUAACAAGGAGCAGGAAAAGAUGUCUGUAUCCAAACUUGUCAAGUCUUCAGGGUACCUAUAUGCCACCCAGAGGGAAAAAUAAGUGUUCACGCCUGUGUACCACUCUCUGCCCCUGGCCAGCUCUGCAAGGAGAAGUGCAUACUCCUGGAGCCGUGCAGGAAUAACCUUCUUAGGAAAACCCUGCCAAAACCCCCCUUGCAGGAAUACCUGUCUUCCCCCCACCUCAGCUCAGAGCAUGGCCACAGCCAUGAGAGGCUGCAGCUGGCAGAGGCCACCUGCCCACUGUCCUGCCCAGACCCCUUGCCCACAGAGAGAAGGCCAGCUCAGCUCUUUCAGGCGGUUCUCAAGGGAUGCAGUCCUGAGCGUUGGUUUACCCUUGAGUUUUGGGCUGGGAAACAGCAGAAGCGCUUGGGUGAAGAAGACAAAAUAGUCCCCCUGAGACCUCCUCUGCGCCAAUGAGAAGUGCAAAUCCUGCGCUCUGCCUGACAAAAGACCACAACCAGAAACCUGCCAGGAGACAGAGGGGACACUGAGAAAGCCCUGGAUGCAGAGUGCUCUGGCUGUAGGAGAGAGAGGGGUGGGGCGGAGGCAAAGCUCCUUGCUACCAGGGAAAUGUCCCUCACACUGGCUGGGAGAUGACAGCUGCUAGCAAAGAGCAGCUGCUGACUUCUCUCCCAAAGCUGCAUUGCCUCAACUGGAUUUCCACAGCACUCAAGUGGGCUUGGCAAAGGGAGACUUUGGUGGAUGGGCAAGGACGGACACAUGCUGCAGCUCCUGGAGCUGGGAGCUCCCAGCUUCCAAGGUGGCCUC